rnacentral:rRNA from 1 species
UAUUAUCCUAACUUCUUCCUUUUUUUCAACGCCCAAUCUCAUCUGAUCUCGGAAGCGAAGUAGGGUUGGGCCUGAUUAGUAUUUGGAUGAGCGACCGCUGGGGAUACUAGAUGCGAUAAUGU